UACGUAGGGUGCGAGCGUUAAUCGGAAUUACUGGGCGUAAAGCGUGCGCAGGCGGUUCCCCAAGUCCGUUGUGAAAGCCCCGGGCUCAACCUGGGAAUGGCAGUGGAAACUAGGGGACUGGAAUCUGGCAGAGGGGGGUGGAAUGCCGCGUGUAGCAGUGAAAUGCGCAGAGAUGCGGCGGAACACCGAUGGCGAAGGCAGCCCCCUGGGCUGAGAUCGACGCUCAGGCACGAAAGCGUGGGGAGCAAACAGG
rnacentral:rRNA from 1 species